rnacentral:rRNA from 1 species
UCUCGUUAAGCUCGUAGUUGGAUUUCGGGUGGGGUCCGCGGUCCGCCUAUGGUGAGUACUGCUGUGGCCUUCCUUACUGUCCGGGACCUGCUUUCGGGCUUCAUUGUCCGGGACACGGAUUCGGCAUGGUUACUUUGAGUAAAUUGGAGUGUUCAAAGCAGGCUUACGCCGUGAACAUUUUAGCAUGGAAUAACAUGAUAGGACUCUGCCCUAUUCUGUUGGCCUGUAGGAGUGGAGUAAUGAUUAAAAGGAACAGUCGGGGGCAUUCGUAUUUCUUUGUCACAGGUGAAAUUCUUGGAUUUUUGAAAAACAAACUACUGCGCAAAAGUUUUUGCAGGAUGUUUUUUCUUUAAUCAAAAAAAAAUUGGGGGCUCUCAAACAAUAAUAUACCCCGUCAUACUCUCCCAUAUAAAAUGCCCACAAGGGAUUGCCGGACAUUUUUCUUUGACUACUCCACCACCUUCUUAGAAAAAAAAGUUUUUGGGUUCUUGGGGGAGUAUGGUCAUCAAA